CUUGUGGCACAUGUAGAGCUCCGUCUCGUCCAGCUCCUCCAGGUCCGUGAAACUGCGCAGGCAGUCUGCGAGGCACAGACACCCUCACCAAACUGUGCAGGUAGUCUGCGAGGCACAGACACCCUCACCAAAUGGUGCAGGCCGCCUACGAGGCACAGACACCCUCACUAAACUGUGCAGGCAGCCUGCGAAGCACAGACACCCUCACUAAACUGUGCAGGCAGCCUGCGAGGCACAGACACCCUCACCAAACUGUGCAGGCAGCCUGCGAGGCACAGACACCCUCACCAAACUGUGCAGGUAGUCUGCGAGGCACAGACACCCUCACCAAACUGUGCAGGUAGUCUGCGAGGCACAGACACCCUCACCAAAUCGUGCAGGCCGCCUACGAGGCACAGACACCCUCACCAAACUGCGCAGGCAGCCUGCGAGGCACAGACACCCUCACCAAACUGCGCAGGCAGCCUGCGAGGCACAGACACCCUCACCAAACUGGCUCUGCGGCUGGACAGAAGAUUCCGGAAAUCCUGCAAGACACCGCUUACCCUGAAG